UGAAUUGAUCUGUGAAGUGGUCUCGUUAUUUAUACUACUCCUCUUGUCUUCAACUCUUAUGUUGUUAGCGAUGUGGGACUUUGGAACGAGUUAAAAGUUAAAAACAAAACAAACCGCCUCUCUUUAAUUGGGCUUUGCACGAGUUCCCCCAAUCGGAUUUUUAAUCCACACGGUAGCCCAUAUAAUAUCAGAUUUUGGUUUAGCAUAACCGGAUCAAUUAUACAUAAUCAAGAAUAGUAAAGCUAAUUAGACCAAGUUGAGCCGGUACC